rnacentral:antisense_RNA from 1 species
GAAAACACAGCAAAUGAAUCAAACGGACCAGGUAGCAGGCAAGAGUGUGGUUAUCGUUGGACCAGGAUUCAGGAUCUGACCGAGUAGCUGACUCUUAAUCCAGUUUGUGUUGAUCACCAGGAGGAUCUGGACCUCAGUGUUAUCACAUCUAAAGGUGAUAUGCCAACUCCACCUUUGCCUUCCACCAUGUUUGGAAGCUCCCUGAGGCCUCACCAGGAGCAGAUGCUCGUCCCAUGCUUCCUAUAAGCCUGCAGAACUGUGAGCCAUAAUAAACUGUGAAUUAUAAAUUGCCUUUAUAGCAAUGCAAAUGGACCAGUACAGAUGGGAUGCUGGGAAGACAGUUGUUCCACCUUCAGUAAAGUCCAUGGAACACAGUUGUGACUAUAUUCUAGGCCAGCCAAGAUGCUUGUACUCAGAAAGGAGUGAUCUCAGGACCAUAAGAAAGUGAAAAAAUAAAAAUAAGAAAACAAAGAAGGGAUUGUCAAUGAAUCAGAAUUCAUCAAGGUCAAAGUCUUAGGAAAUUCCUUCAUGAGGAAGUCUAGGGGGGCUAUGGAAAUGAAAAUUUUUAAACAAAUAGGUAUGUGGUGCUGGCAGGAAUAAAUUAUGGACUUAUGAAUAUAACAUAAGAUUCUUUAUUACCUGGUCUCACCCGUCUUUCCACCUCUGCCCCCCUUCUUGCCCGACUCUGUGUAUCACCCAUAAUAAACUACUUACAGCUUCCUAGUGUUAAAUUUACCCUAA